AUUGAACGCUGGCGGCAUGCCUUACACAUGCAAGUCGAACGGUAACAGGUCUUCGGAUGCUGACGAGUGGCGAACGGGUGAGUAAUACAUCGGAACGUGCCCGAUCGUGGGGGAUAACGCAGCGAAAGCUGUGCUAAUACCGCAUACGAUCUACGGAUGAAAGCGGGGGAUCGCAAGACCUCGCGCGGACGGAGCGGCCGAUGGCAGAUUAGGUAGUUGGUGGGAUAAAAGCUUACCAAGCCGACGAUCUGUAGCUGGUCUGAGAGGACGACCAGCCACACUGGGACUGAGACACGGCCCAGACUCCUACGGGAGGCAGCAGUGGGGAAUUUUGGACAAUGGGCGAAAGCCUGAUCCAGCAAUGCCGCGUGCAGGAUGAAGGCCUUCGGGUUGUAACUAGCUUUUGUUACGGAACGAAAGGAACUACUGGUUAAUACCUGGGUUCGAGUGACGGUACCGUAAGAAUAAGACACCGGCUAACUACGUGCCAGCAGCCGAC
rnacentral:rRNA from 1 species